rnacentral:rRNA from 1 species
CUACGGGGUGCAGCAGUGAGGAAUAUUGCACAAUGGGGGGAACCCUGAUGCAGCAACGCCGCGUGGAGGAUGACGCAUUUCGGUGUGUAAACUCCUUUUAUAUGUCAAGAAAAUGACGGUAGCAUAUGAAUAAGCACCGGCUAACUCCGUGCCAGCAGCCGCGGUAAUACGGAGGGUGCAAGCGUUACUCGGAAUCACUGGGCGUAAAGGACUGCGUAGGCGGGUUGGAAAGUCAGGUGUGAAAUCCUACAGCUUAACUGUAGAACUGCACUUGAAACUUCUAAUCUAGAGUAUGGGAGGGGGCGAUGGAAUUAGUGGUGUAGGGGUAAAACCCGUAGAUAUCACUAGGAAAACGUAAAGCGACGGCGAUCUCCGGGAACAUUACUGACGCUAAGGCGUGAAAGCGUGGGGAGCAAACAGGAUUAGUACCCCGGUAGUC